AGAAGAGUGAAUUGCCUUUGGAAGACUUCCACACAGGGAACACUGCUGUUAUAACAUAACAAGUAGUAAAGUGCCAUCAAGCUUCUAAAGUAAGGGAGAACAGAAAAGCAGAAGGCAAUUUUGUUUAAGAAAACAACUGCAUUUGUUACACAAUAACAUAACAAAAGGAAAUGAGACCACACUCUCUUAGAGAAUUCUGAAGCCUUAAUUACAUUGUAAAUUUUGGGAAUUAAUAUGGUACAGGCAGCUUCUAAACUCAUUCACAGGUCAGUCACUGACUUUCUGAUUAGAGCAUUAACCUGUCUCUGACAAUCAGCUAUAAUUCCAUUAUGUAUUUUUCCCAACAAUAUGAAUCAUAUUGAUCCUAAGGCUCAGAGAAGAUUUCGGUAAGCUGAAAGGAAUUUGGUAAUGACAAUGUGAACAGAUGAAUUUUGCAUCUUCCCUGAUCUGUCCCACCUCUGUAAGAAGAAAGUAUGCUGCAUUUGCUUAUUGAAAAGGACCCGAGAGAUUCCAGUCAGCCCAGUCUCUUUAUCGUACAAGGAAGCCAAAUUCAACUAAGACUGGACCGACCUGGCAGGGUGGCUCACAUCUGUAAUCCCAGACUUUGGGAGACUGAGAUGAGAGGAUCACCUAAGGUCAGGAGUUUGAGACCAGCCUGGCCCACAUAGUGAAACCCUGUCUCCACUGAAAAUACAAUAAUUAGCCAGCCGCAGUGGUGGGUGCCUGUAAUCCCAGCUACUUGGAGGCUGAGGCAGGAGAAUCGCCUGAAUCCAGGAGGCAGAGGUUGCAGUGAGCCGAGAUGACAUCACUGCACUCCAGCGUGGGAGACAGAGUGAGACUCUAUCUCAAAAAAAAAAAAAAAAAAAAAAAGGCUGGAUAGCCUGAAUCUUAUACUAGAAGAAAAACCCCAAAUAUGCCCAGGCUAAAGUCAUCUGGGGACCCAUUGUUUUGGGUGGUGGCCUCUAAUUAGGGCUUGAACAAAUUUGAUAAAAAUCUGUGUUUUGGAGAGUUUCCCGUUGGAGGUGAGGCUCCUAGACCAGGUACUUGGUCAUCCCCUGAGAGCUCAUCAGCCAGGCAGAGGCUCAACUCCCACCCAGGCCUGCUGAGCCAAAAUCUGCCUUUCAACAAGGCCCAUGGGUGAUCACUGUGUGCAUGAAAGGUUGGAAACACUGGCUUAGGUGAUACUGCUAAGAUUGAGAUCAGAGAAGGACUUGUUUUUCUCUAGGGCUUUCCAUUUACAAGUCAGCUGACUAUUCCGGGAACCACACUGAUGGAAGCUCUCAGGAGCUUUUGUCUUGAUUGGAAAACACUACCUCAGCCAGGAGUCAGGUCAGGAGAUGGAAAGGUGAUGGGCAGAAGCUGGAGGAGCUGGAGGAGCUGGAGGAGCUGGAGGAGCUGGAGGAUCUCCAUGACAGGGGAGAUGCACUUCCAUAGAUGCAUCUUCGUGCAGAUACAGAGGAAUCUGGCACUUUCUGAACCUCGAGAUCCAAUUGAUAAGGAAGGAAAAUCAGUAAAAUGUAACAAUGGCCAUGCACAUCAAUAAAAUGUAACCACAGAUACAGCAAAAUGAAAGUACUCUGUGAUCAAAGGUGGCACACUCUCUUCCUGUAGGCAUGGGACAAAUCAGAAAUGAUGAAAAAAUGCAUCACUUCAAGUUUCAAAAUGCAGGUGACUUCUAACAUCUCAGAUUUUUCAACAACUCGGCACAGUAGGUGGUAUUUUCCUUAUGUUACAGAUGAGGAAACCAAGGCUCAGGGGAGUCUAGUCAGGGCCCCAAUUCACACAGCUACUAAAUGUCUGAGCUGGGGUUCACACUUACCUGUCUGACUGCCUAACACCCACACUCUAAGGCAUCCUGAGUUUACAUUUGUCACCACCUUUAGUUCAUUGUUGACCCUUCCCCCAAAGCAGUACAAUUUUUUUUUUUACAUUUGCCAAGUACUAUGUUGUAUUUGCAUACCAAUCCCUUUUAGUGCCAAAUUUAGGAGGGAAACCCCAUUUAUUAAUAAAUAUGUCCUUAAAGGAGGACAUACUCAAAAGGAAAGUGAAAAAGCAGGCUUCUGACAUAGCUUGUUAAAUGGGUCAGAGUGUAAAGAAGCAGGUGUGCGCACUGGAGUACAUUGUCUCCAAGCAUCUGGCAGAAAACCACAAUGUCAUGGGAUUGUGCAGACAGCUCCCCUUCCUUCCCUCAAAUAAAAGCAGUGUCCACAUUUCCGCUGUGAUGGGCACUGCUUCCCUCCUUUCCCUAUGUGAGCUGAAAACUCACCCCUAGGAGUCAAAUUUAAUCAAUUACACAAAACUAUUUUACCGGACGUGGGUUGUGAGCUGGAGGUAAGGCUCAGUUCCGUUUCUAAAGGAGUCCACAAGAUUUGCUUCUCAGAGAAGAAAUUAAAGUUAAUGAUGGGCCAGGUGCGGUGUCUCAUGCUUGCAAUCCCAGCACUUUGGGAUGCCAAGGCAGGAGGAUUACUUGAGGUCAGGAGUUCAAGACCAGCCUCACCAACAUAGAGAAACCCUGUCUCUACUAAAAAUACAGAAAUUAGCCGGGCAUGGCAGUGCAUGCCUGUUAUCCCAGAUAUUCUGGAGGGUGAGUCAGGAGAAUCACUUGAACCAGGAAGGUGGAGGUUGCAGUGAGCCAACAUCGUGCCAUUGCACUCUAGCCUGGGCAACAAGAGUGAAACUCUGUCUCAAAAGCAAAAAAAAAAAAUUAGCCAGCGUGGUGGUGCAUGCCUGUAAUCCCAGCUACUCUGAGACUGAGGCAGGAGCAUCACUUGAACCCAGGAAGCAGAGGUUACAGUGAGCCAAGAUCAUGCCACUGCACUCCAGCCUGGGCAACAAGAAGGAAACUCUGUCUCAAAAAAUAAAAUAAAAUAAAAAUAAAGAUAAUGAUAAACAAAUUUAAAGGCAAAAAACAAAAAUCUAAUAAAGUUACUUUUCUCUUUUGUUUCAGUUGGAGCAAAAUAGGAAGUAGUAAAGAUUCCUUGAAAUCUAUUUCAGAGCUGUUCCUUUGGGGCUAUGAAAUAAAAGACAAGACUGGUAGAAAUGACUUAAAAUGCAAAAAUGGCAAAGGUAAUGAUCACCGUGGGUAGGUUAUAAACGACUGUGGAGGUUUGGGGAGGCUAAAUCAUCC
rnacentral:lncRNA from 1 species